rnacentral:rRNA from 1 species
CCUACGGGUGGCUGCAGUGAGGAAUAUUGGUCAAUGGGCGCGAGCCUGAACCAGCCAAGUCGCGUGAGGGAAGACGGUCCUAUGAAUUGUAAACCUCUUUUGUAGGGGAGCAAAAGACGCCACGCGUGGCGUUCCGAGAGUACCCUACGAAAAAGCAUCGGCUAACUCCGUGCCAGCAGCCGCGGUACUACGGGGGUUGCGAGCGUUAUCCGGAUUUAUUGGGUUUAAAGGGUGAGCAGGCGGAAGAUAAAGUUGGCGUUAAAAUUGCGAGGCUAAACCUCGUCGAGCCGUUGAUACUGGUUUGCUUGAGUGAGCGAGAAGUAUGCGGAAUGCGUGGUGUAGCGGUGAAAUGCAUAGAUAUCACGCAGAACUCCGAUUGCGAAGGCAGCAUACCGGCGCUCAACUGACGCUCAGGCACGAAAGUGUGGGUAUCGAACAGGAUUAGAUACCCUUGUAGUC